GGUUCACACGAGUAAUUCUAAUCAAUAAAACCCGAAUUACUCAGGAACCCCAGCUACAAGGAAGUGCUUCUUCUUGUUGUAUUAUGACUUUUAACUUUUUAUUAUUGUGAAAAUUUCAAACCAUACUAAAGUUGAAAGAGUGAGAUAAUGCACAUCUAUAUAGUCCUCAAUUAGAGUCACUGAUAAUGCCAGUUGAAAGGACACUAAUGAUGAGACUGAGUUAGGAUGCCAGAGGAGAGUUUAUGAGACAUCAAGGGAAUUGAAGCAGCACUGGCAGGGAGUGUCUCAGACUAUGAUAAGGAUCUGACAAGGUCUCAGCCGACCUAACACAGAGCUCCAGAGCAAAGAUUUCCCACUGCACAGCUGGUAUCACGCACUGAUCAGUCACUGGCUGGGCACUGCUGGGGAAGAGUGUUGCCUCAGCUCAAAAGCAGAAUCGGAUCCUGAAGGACCUAAUGACUAGAAACUUCCAGCUGACUACACUCUGCAACUGACUGAUGGCACAUUGCAUAAAGAAACGCGAACCCAGCAGCACUCCUGCCAGCGGCAAUUCUGAGUGCUCAUUUCCACUUUGCCAAGACAUUACAUGGGAAGGCAUGUGCGUUUAAGGGCAUCCAAUUGUUUCUGUAUCAGAACAGCAGCAACAUCCCGGGCAGGCCUUUCCUCUGGAGUUCACGUGUAGGUCGUACUGACACACAACAUGGCCUAAAUGGACCAUGGAGGAGGAAGGGACCCCAAAUCCAGGCCAAAUGGGAGCAGGGUUGUCCUCAGGAGGACCCCAGCUAGAAGACUUUCUCUGGAACCCACGGUGCCUCUCACUAAAGUGCCCCAACGUUGGCACAACACCUACCGAAUUGUUGUUGCUGACUCUCUAUGCCCAUGAUUCAACCAGAACAACAUUGAUUCGUUAAAAGGUGCAUGAAUAAACUUGACUCUGGAAACAACAACA
rnacentral:lncRNA from 10 species